ACGCUGGCGGCAGGCUUAACACAUGCAAGUCGAACGGUAACAGGGAUUAGCUUGCUAAUUUGCUGACGAGUGGCGGACGGGUGAGUAAUGCUUGGGAAUCUGGCUUAUGGAGGGGGAUAACUACGGGAAACUGUAGCUAAUACCGCGUAAAAUCUUCGGAUUAAAGGGUGGGACUUUCGAGCCACCUGCCAUAAGAUGAGCCCAAGUGGGAUUAGGUAGUUGGUUAGGUAAAGGCUGACCAAGCCGACGAUCUCUAGCUGGUCUGAGAGGAUGACCAGCCACACUGGAACUGAGACACGGUCCAGACUCCUACGGGAGGCAGCAGUGGGGAAUAUUGCACAAUGGGGGGAACCCUGAUGCAGCCAUGCCGCGUGAAUGAAGAAGGCCUUCGGGUUGUAAAGUUCUUUCGGUGACGAGGAAGGUUGAUAGGUUAAUAGCCUAUCAAAUUGACGUUAAUCACAGAAGAAGCACCGGCUAACUCCGUGCCAGCAGCCGCGGUAAUACGGGGGGUGCGAGCGUUAAUCGGAAUAACUGGGCGUAAAGGGCACGCAGGCGGUGACUUAAGUGAGACGUGAAAGCCCCGAGCUUAACUUGGGAAUUGCAUUUUAUACUGGGUCGCUAGAGUACUUUAGGGAGGGGUAGAAUUCCACGUGUAGCGGUGAAAUGCGUAGAGAUGUGGAGGAAUACCGAAGGCGAAGGCAGCCCCUUGGGAAUGUACUGACGCUCAUGUGCGAAAGCGUGGGGAGCAAACAGGAUUAGAUACCCUGGUAGUCCACGCUGUAAACGAUGUCGAUUUGGGGAUUGGGCUUUGAGCUUGGUGCCCGUAGCUAACGUGAUAAAUCGACCGCCUGGGGAGUACGGCCGCAAGGUUAAAACUCAAAUGAAUUGACGGGGGCCCGCAC
rnacentral:rRNA from 1 species